rnacentral:rRNA from 1 species
AUUGCCUCAGUAACGGCGAGUGAAGCGGCAACAGCUCAAAUUUGAAAUCUGGCCUCGGGCCCGAGUUGUAAUUUGCAGAGGAUGCUUUUGGCGCGGUGCCUUCCGAGUUCCCUGGAACGGGACGCCAUAGAGGGUGAGAGCCCCGUCUGGUUGGACACCAAGCCUAUGUAAAGCUCCUUCGACGAGUCGAGUAGUUUGGGAAUGCUGCUCUAAAUGGGAGGUACAUGUCUUCUAAAGCUAAAUACCGGCCAGAGACCGAUAGCGCACAAGUAGAGUGAUCGAAAGAUGAAAAGCACUUUGGAAAGAGAGUUAAACAGCACGUGAAAUUGUUAAAAGGGAAGCGUUUAUGACCAGACGUGGGCCGGUUAAUCAUCCAGCGUUCUCGCUGGUGCACUUUGCCGGUCCAGGCCAGCAUCAGUUCGCUGCGGGGGAUAAAGGCGUCGGGAAUGUGGCUCCUCGGAGUGUUAUAGCCCUUCGCGCAAUACCCUGUGGUGGACUGAGGUUCGCGCACUGCAAGGAUGCUGGCGUAAUGGUCAUCAACGACCCGUCUUGAAACACGGACCAAGGAGUCGUCUUCGUAUGCGAGUGUUCGGGUGUAAAACCCCUACGCGAAAUGAAAGUGAACGUAGGUGAGAGCUUCGGCGCAUCAUCGACCGAUCCUGAUGUUCUCGGAUGGAUUUGAGUAAGAGCAUACGGGGCCGGACCCGAAAGAAGGUGAACUAUGCCUGUAUAGGGUGAAGCCAGAGGAAACUCUGGUGGAGGCUCGCAGCGGUUCUGACGUGCAAAUCGAUCGUCAAAUAUGGGCAUGGGGGCGAAAGACUAAU